UACGGAGGGUGCAAGCGUUAUCCGGAUUCACUUGGGUUUAAAAGGGGUGCGUAGGUGGGCAUGGUAAGUCAGUGGUGAAAUUCUCCGAGCUUAACUCGGAACUGCCAUUGAUACUAUCUGUCUUGAAUUAUCUGGAGGUAAGGCGGAAUAUGUCAUGUAGCGGUGAAAUGCUUAGAUAUGACAUAGAACACCAAUUGCGAAGGCAGCUUACUACGGAUAACAUUACACUGAGGCACGAAAGCGUGGGGAUCGAAACAGG
rnacentral:rRNA from 1 species